ensembl:lncRNA
AAAAAAAGCAUUAAACAAGACUUAUUUCCAAUUUCCUAACACAUUUUCCCUGUUCCAUUGUGGGUUAGUCAGUUAUCCAUAAGCUGUAGUUCCUUGGCGGGGGGAGGGGGGGGGGGGGGGGCUAGAAAAAAAAAGAAAACAAACGGAAACCACUCGGUACAGUGUCUGGAGUUUGGCGGACUGCCCAGGCUAUAAUCUAAUCUAUGAAGGUCACACCAACACCAGCAAUGCCUUGUAGUCUCACAGUCUGGCUUAAAGAAAUCCUUUUUUCCUACUGACGUUAAAAGCUUCAGACUACUGCCUGCAUCCUCCACCAAAAAUUUGUCAUGGAGUUAUCUAGAUAGAUCUGUGCCCGUGACAGGGGGGCAGGAGGCUCGCGCCCCCCCACUCCCGCCCCCCCCCCCCCCCCCCCCCCCCUCAGCUUCCCGAGAAAAAAAAUGGAGCAGCGGCAACGAUCUAAGAAGGAGAACUUAUUUUACUAACUACGAUGUUGGAAUGCAAGAUGACACAAUAUAAUACAAUCUAAUUGGAAG